GCCCUAUUGGUGUAGCGGUAACACACUAGUCUUCCAAACUAGGUUCGCCGGUUCGAUCCCGGCAUGGGGCU
rnacentral:tRNA from 1 species